ACGGAAGGCAGCAGUGGGGAAUAUUGGGCAAUGGGCGAAAGCCUGACCCAGCAACGCCGCGUGAAGGACGAAGGCCUUCGGGUUGUAAACUUCUUUUACCAGGGACGAACAAAUGACGGUACCUGGAGAAAAAGCAACGGCUAACUACGUGCCAGCAGCCGCGGUAAUACGUAGGUUGCAAGCGUUGUCCGGAUUUACUGGGUGGAAAGGGCGUGUAGGCGGAGCUGCAAGUCAGAUGUGAAAUCCCGGGGCUCAACCCCGGAACUGCAUUUGAAACUGUAGCCCUUGAGUAUCGGAGAGGCUAGCGGAAGUCCUAGUGUAGCGGUGAAAUGCGUAGAUAUUAGGAGGAACAACAGUGGCGAAGGCGGCUUGCUGGACGACAACUGACGCUGAGGCGCGAAAGCGUGGGGAGCAAACAGGAUUAGAUACCCUGGUA
rnacentral:rRNA from 1 species